rnacentral:rRNA from 1 species
AACCUCGUCCUUAGUUGCCAUCAUUGGUUGGGCACUCUAAUGAGACUGCCGGUGACAAACCGGAGGAAGGUGGGGAUGACGUCAAGUCCUCAUGGCCCUUAUGGUAGGGCUUCACACGUCAUACAAUGGUCGGUACAGAGGGUUGCCAACCCGCGAGGGGGAGCUAAUCCCACAAAGCCGAUCGUAGUCCGGAUCGCAGUCUGCAACUCGACUGCGUGAAGUCGGAAUCGCUAGUAAUCGUGGAUCAGCAUGUCACGGUGAAUACGUUCCCGGGUCUU